UGACCUCGGAUCAGACGUGAUUACCCGCUGAAUUUAAGCAUAUUAUUAAGCGGAGGAAAAGAAACUAACAAGGAUUCCCCUAGUAACGGCGAGUGAACGGGGAAAGAGCCCAACACCGAAUCCCUUGGCGCAAGUCAACGGGAAAUGUGGUGUUAAGGUAGCCCUUCGUGUCAGUCUAGGCGUCUCAAGUCCACCUGAUUGUGGCUCAAGCCCAGAGAGGGUGUAAGGCCCGUAGAGACGCUCCGACUGAUUCCUGGGGUUUACCUACGAGUCGGGCUUGUUUGGGAAUGCAGGCCAAAGCGGGUGGUAAACUCCAUCAAGGCUAAAUACUGGCACGAGUCCGAUAGCGGACAGAGCGUACCGUGAGGGAAAGUUGAAAGAACUUUGAAGAGAGAGUUCAAUAGUACGUGAAACCGCUUAGAGGCAAAC
rnacentral:ncRNA from 1 species